rnacentral:tRNA from 1 species
GGGUAUUUGGUCUAGUGGUAUGAUUCUCGCCUAGGGUGCAGAGGUCCCAAGUUCAAUUCUCGGAAUACCCC